GUUGAAUCUUCCCUGGUGACUUUGAUUAUGAACAACUUGGCAGUCACGGUUUCCAAAGGCAUGAUGGACAAGCUGUCACUUGUGAAUACUUCUAUGCAGCGAUGCGUGAUGCAAAUAAUGCACAACUGCCAAACUUUUUACAAUGGUACUCUCAAGCAGGUACGCCUA